rnacentral:piRNA from 1 species
UGUAUACGGCGCAGACAAAUGGAAC